AUUUCAAAAUUAUCAUACUAAUUAGUUUUUCUAUUAACAAAAUAAAGAAUAUGUAGCAUCAUUGACUUAGGUUUAACAAUGACUUUAUAUUUAAAAAAUAAGUGGGCUAUAUAUAUAUGGCUUUGAACCCAGCAACAAGAAUGAGAAUGGAAGAUAACCAUCAAACCAUGCAUAAAAGAAUAUUAAAAGAAAAAAGAAUGUCAGUGCUGGGAUUUGAACCCAGCAACAAUGACACUGAAAAGUGGAAAAUUGGAAUAAACUCCAUGUUCCACUUGAAUCUAAAUAAGGGGAAAUUUGGAAAACAUUGUAGAGUAGUUUUUAAAAUUUAGUAUAAAUUUGGAAAAUUUGAGAAAUUGAUUUCUAAUUUUCUAAUUUAGAAAACUCUAGCAACUAAACAAAAAGCCCUAUUUUCUAAUUUUCUUGGAGUAAUUUUCAAGAAAACAGUCUUUGUUUUUCCAUAACUAAACAAGGCCCUAAUGUUUUCUGAAACAAGAAUGCUUUGAUUGAAAGAACUCAGCAGUACUUUCUCAAAAACAGAGCCAACUGAUUUUUCAGUUCAAAGAAUAAUUUCUUGGUUCUGCAGAUCAGACAUAGGAAUCAUCCAAAUUCUUCUGCAUGCCGUAAAUAUGCACCAGCCAAAAGACAACAGAUA
rnacentral:misc_RNA from 1 species